UGGGGAAUAUUGCACAAUGGGCGCAAGCCUGAUGCAGCCAUGCCGCGUGUAUGAAGAAGGCCUUCGGGUUGUAAAGUACUUUCAGUCGGGAGGAAGGUGUCAAGGUUAAUAACCUUAUCAAUUGACGUUACCGACAGAAGAAGCACCGGCUAACUCCGUGCCAGCAGCCGCGGUAAUACGGAGGGUGCAAGCGUUAAUCGGAAUUACUGGGCGUAAAGCGCACGCAGGCGGUUGAUUGAGUCAGAUGUGAAAUCCCCGGGCUUAACCCGGGGAUUGCAUCUGAUACUGGUCAGCUAGAGUCUUGUAGAGGGGGGUAGAAUUCCAUGUGUAGCGGUGAAAUGCGUAGAGAUGUGGAGGAAUACCGGUGGCGAAGGCGGCCCCCUGGACAAAGACUGACGCUCAGGUGCGAAAGCGUGGGGAGCAAACAGG
rnacentral:rRNA from 1 species